AGUGAACGCUGGCGGUAUGCCUUACACAUGCAAGUCGAACGGCAGCACAGUAGGUUCUUGCUCGUACGGAGUGCGGGUGGCGGGCGGGUUAGGUAGACAUCUGACUCGACUUGUUCGUUAGGGAUACCGAAGCGAAACUAACACUGCUACCGCAUACCACCUGCGAGUGAGAGCAGUUCAUGUUCCGACCUUGCGCGAUGGACUGAGCCGAUGUCGGAUUAGCUAGUUGGCGGGGUAAAGGCCGACCAAGGCGACGAUCCGUAGCUGGUCUGAGAGGACGAUCAGCCACACUGGAACUGAGACACGGUCCAGACUCCUACGGGAGGCAGCAGUGGGGAAUUUUGGACAAUGGGCGAAAGCCUGAUCCAGCAAUGCCGCGUGGGUGAAGAAGGCCUUCGGGUUGUAAAGCCCUUUUGUUGGGAAAGAAAACCAGCACGUUAAUACCGCGCUGUUCUGACGGUACCCAAAGAAUAAGCACCGGCUAACUUCGUG
rnacentral:rRNA from 1 species